rnacentral:rRNA from 1 species
CGACGUUGUAAAACGACCGCCUGUUUAUCAAAAACAUCUCUUCUUGUUAGUAUAAGAAGUAGGCCCUGCUCAGUGUUUUAUUAACAGCGGGAUACCUUAAUGUAGCGUAAUCAAUUGGCCUUUAAUUGGGGUCUAGUAUGAAAGGGUUGACGAUAGGGCGACUGUCUCGUAAGGAGAAUCGAAACUUACUUUAGGGUGAAAAGGCCUUAACAUUAUUAAAAGACGAGAAGACCCUGUCGAGCUUGAUCAUGAAAGUUUAGUUGGGGCAACUACGGAGAAAUAAACCUCCGUUACUAUACAUGGAUCCAUCAUUAAUGAUAAAAGGAAAAAGCUACCGCAGGGAUAACAGCGCGAGAGUGCUACAGAGUUCUUAUCGAAGGCACUAUUUGCGACCUCGAUGUUGGAUUAGGGUUACUCCUGGGAGCAGACGCUCAGAGAGUGGGACUGUUCGUCCUUUAAACCGCUACGUGAUCUGAGU